AAGUGGAACAACAUCAAUGGAUAAUUCAGUUUUUCCUCAUCAGACGUAACGAUUAAACAGGCGCCGUGUGAUCGCGACGUCUCAACCAGGAUCCAGUAAAUCCGAUGUGUAUUUUUUUACUGAGUAUCAGAAAGAUGUUAUCGCUGAAUAUUACCGUGAAAUGACACAAAGUGUUGGCUUGAACACAUCAUCAAAAUGCUGAUUCCAGUACGCUUAGCUGCGGCAAUAUACACAUGCUAGGAUUUCACGAGUGAUUGAGCAAUAUGGCUUCUGGUACAUCUUCCCUGGACAGCGCUGGAAGUAGCGAUGGCGCACUUAACAUAGCUGUGAGCAUACUAUGAAAGAGUUGGAAUAUUAUCGGGGGCAACAUAGGGCAGCCAUGAAUCAAUUGGAAGCAACGGCUCAAGAAAGCUCCACCCUGAGGGGAAAAUAUAGCGACAUGGUAAAUGACAAGC